AUGAACCGGAAGCCGGGU
rnacentral:snRNA from 1 species